GGUAUGCGGAGGUCAUUAUGAUGAAUUGAGUGGGGUUGUAGCUGGCCUUUUACCGGGCAUGUGCACACCUCAUUCAACCACCUUCUAUACCUCUGUGCACUUCUCAUGAGUUGGGCUGCGUCUGAAAUAUGACAAAGUCCGGCUCAUGUGCUUUAUACAAACAAAUUAUGUUAUAGAAUGUCAUUACCAUGCUUUAAAGCAUAUAAUACAACUUUCAACAACGGAUCUCUUGGCUCUCGCAUCGAUGAAGAACGCAGCGAAAUGCGAUAAGUAAUGUGAAUUGCAGAAUUCAGUGAAUCAUCGAAUCUUUGAACGCACCUUGCGCUCCUUGGUAUUCCGAGGAGCAUGCUUGUUUGAGUGUCAUGGUCUUCUCAACCCUUCUGUCUUUUUUGUUAAAGGCAGCUGGGCUUGGACUUGGAGGUCUUGCCGGCGUCCGAAUUUUGAAUUCAGAAGUCGGCUCCUCUGAAAUGCAUUAGCUUGAAUAGAACCAAGCAUGAUUCAGCGUGAUAAUUGUCUACGUUGCUUCAUCUCGGUGAAUUUAAUGUUCGAGCUUCUAACCGUCCCUCGGGACAAUAUCUGAACAUCUGACCUCAAAUCAAGUAGGACUACCCGCUGAACUUAAGCAUAUCAAAAAGGGGGAAGGAAA
rnacentral:rRNA from 1 species